rnacentral:rRNA from 1 species
CGACUGACAUCCGGCGAAAGCCGGCUCCCGCAAGGGUAGUCGUCGAGGUGCUGCAUGGCUGUCGUCAGCUCGUGUCGUGAGAUGUUGGGUUAAGUCCCGCAACGAGCGCAACCCUUGUCCGCUGUUGCCAUCAGGUUAUGCUGGGCACUCUGCGGAGACUGCCGGUGAUAAACCGGAGGAAGGUGGGGAUGACGUCAAGUCAGCAUGGCCUUUAUGUCUGGGGCUACACACGUGCUACAAUGGCCGGUACAAACCGUCGCGAUGCCGCAAGGUGGAGCUAAUCGGAGAAAGCCGGUCUCAGUUCGGAUUGCAGGCUGCGACUAGCCUGCAUGAAGUUGGAAUCGCUAGUAAUCGCGGAUCAGCACGCCGCGGUGAAUACGUUCCCGGGCCUUGUACACACCGCCCGUCACAUCACGAAAGCCGGCUGUACUAGAAGUCUCCUCGCUAACCCGCAAGGGAGGCAAGCGCCUAAGGUAU